rnacentral:rRNA from 1 species
GACGAACGCUGGAGGCGUGCUUAACACAUGCAAGUCGAACGAUGAAAUGGAGCUUGCUCCAUGGAUUAGUGGCGAAUGGGUGAGUAACACGUGAAUAACCUGCCCUUAAUUUUGGAAUAACCCAGGGAAACCUGGGCUAAUACCGGAUAAGUAAACCUGCGGCAUCACAUGGUUCUGGAAAGUUUUUCGAUUAAGGAAGGAUUCGCGGCCUAUCAGCUUGUUGGUGAGGUAAUGGCCCACCAAGGGGACGACGGGUAGCCGGCCUGAGAGGGGGAACGGCCACACUGGGACUGAGACACGGCCCAGACUCCUACGGGAGGCAGCAGUGGGGAAUAUUGCGCAAUGGACGAAAGUCUGACGCAGCGACGCCUCGUGAGGGACGAAGGUCUUCGGAUUGUAAACCUCUUUCAGCAGGGACGAAGCGAAAGUGACGGUACCUGCAGAAGAAGCACCGGCUAACUAUGUGCCAGCCGCCGCGGUAA